UAUCCAUGAUGAGAGCAUUGAGCUUGGUAGCCUUUGAAUCUCUCCCAGGCUUCUCUGAAUCCUUCCAAGCCUUUCUGUUGAAAGCUGGAGAUCUCAUUUCUUAGCUU
rnacentral:snoRNA from 1 species